rnacentral:rRNA from 1 species
AACGAACGCUGGCGGCAGGCCUAACACAUGCAAGUCGAACGUGAAGCCACCUUCGGGUGGUGGAAAGUGGCAGACGGGGGAGUAACGCGUGGGAACGUGCCUUUCGGUUCGGAAUAACCCAGGGAAACUCGGGCUAAUACCGGAUACGCCCUUCGGGGGAAAGAUUCAUCGCCGAAAGAUCGGCCCGCGUCGGAGUAGCUAGUUGGUAGGGUAAUGGCCUACCAAGGCGACGAUCCGUAACUGGUCUGAGAGGAUGACCAGCCACACUGGGACUGAGACACGGCCCAGACUCCUACGGGAGGCAGCAGUGGGGAAUAUUGGACAAUGGGCGAAAGCCUGAUCCAGCCAUGCCGCGUGGGUGAAGAAGGCCUUAGGGUUGUAAACCCCUUUCAGCGGGGAAGAUAAUGACGGUACCCGCAGAAGAAGCCCCGGCUAACUCCGUGCCAGCAGCCGCCGUAACAC